CCUACGGGAGGCAGCAGUGGGGAAUAUUGCACAAUGGGGGAAACCCUGAUGCAGCGACGCCGCGUGAGUGAUGAAGUAUUUCGGUAUGUAAAGCUCUAUUAGCAGGGAAGAAAAUGACGGUACCUGACUAAGAAGCCCCGGCUAACUACGUGCCAGCAGCCGCGGUAAUACGUAGGGGGCAAGCGUUAUCCGGAUUUACUGGGCGUAAAGGGAGCGUAGGCGGCAGCGCAAGUCUGAAGUGAAAUCCCAUGGCUUAACCAUGGAACUGCAUUGGAAACUGUGCAGCUGGAGUGCAGGAGAGGUAGGCGGAAUUCGUGGUGUAGCGGUGAAAUGCGUAGAUAUUAGGAGGAACACCAAUGGCGAAGGCGGCUUGCUGGACUGUAACUGACGUUGAGGCUCGAAAGCGUGGGGAGCAAACAGGAUUAGAUACCCUGGUAGUC
rnacentral:rRNA from 1 species